CCUACGGGAGGCUGCAGUGGGGGAUAUUGCACAAUGGGGGAAACCCUGAUGCAGCGACGCCGCGUGGGUGAAGAAGCGCCUCGGCGCGUAAAGCCCUGUCAGCAGGGAAGAAAAUGACGGUACCUGAAGAAGAAGCCCCGGCUAACUACGUGCCAGCAGCCGCGGUAAUACGUAGGGGGCAAGCGUUAUCCGGAUUUACUGGGUGUAAAGGGGGCGCAGACGGCGGUGCAAGCCAGGAGUGAAAACCCGGGGCCCAACCCCGGGACUGCUCUUGGAACUGCGUGGCUAGAGUGCAGGAGGGGCAGGCGGAAUUCCUGGUGUAGCGGUGAAAUGCGUAGAUAUCAGGAGGAACACCAGUGGCGAAGGCGGCCUGCUGGACUGCAACUGACGUUGGGGCCCGAAAGCGUGGGGAGCAAACAGGAUUAGAUACCCCAGUAGUC
rnacentral:rRNA from 1 species